rnacentral:rRNA from 1 species
CACGUAGGGUGCGAGCGUUGUCCGGAAUUAUUGGGCGUAAAGAGCUCGUAGGCGGCUUGUUGCGUCGACUGUGAAAACCCGCGGCUCAACCGUGUGGCUUGCAGUCGAUACGGGCAGGCUAGAAUUCGGUAGGGGAGACUGGAAUUCCCGGUGUAGUGGUGAAAUGCGUAGAGAUCGGGAGGAACACCUGUGGCGAAGGCGGCCGUCUGGGCCGACCCUGACGCUGAGGCGCGAAGGCGUGGGGAGCGAACGGG